rnacentral:rRNA from 1 species
UACGGAGGGUGCAAGCGUUGUUCGGAUUUAUUGGGCGUAAAGCGCGUGUAGGCGGUUUCUUAAGCCUGAUGUGAAAGCCCCGGGCUCAACCCGGGAAGUGCAUUGGAUACUGGGAGACUUGAAUACGGGAGAGGGUAGUGGAAUUCCUAGUGUAGGAGUGAAAUCCGUAGAUAUUAGGAGGAACACCGGUGGCGAAGGCGGCUACCUGGACCGAUAUUGACGCUGAGGCACGAAAGCGUGGGGAGCAAACAGG